AUUGAACGCUGGCGGCAGGCCUAACACAUGCAAGUCGAGCGGAUGAAGGGAGCUUGCUCCUGGAUUCAGCGGCGGACGGGUGAGUAAUGCCUAGGAAUCUGCCUGGUAGUGGGGGAUAACGUCCGGAAACGGGCGCUAAUACCGCAUACGUCCUGAGGGAGAAAGUGGGGGAUCUUCGGACCUCACGCUAUCAGAUGAGCCUAGGUCGGAUUAGCUAGUUGGUGGGGUAAAGGCCUACCAAGGCGACGAUCCGUAACUGGUCUGAGAGGAUGAUCAGUCACACUGGAACUGAGACACGGUCCAGACUCCUACGGGAGGCAGCAGUGGGGAAUAUUGGACAAUGGGCGAAAGCCUGAUCCAGCCAUGCCGCGUGUGUGAAGAAGGUCUUCGGAUUGUAAAGCACUUUAAGUUGGGAGGAAAGGCAGUAAGUUAAUACCUUGCUGUUUUGACGGUACCAACAGAAUAAGCACCGGCUAACUUCGUG
rnacentral:rRNA from 1 species